rnacentral:piRNA from 1 species
UAGGUGUGAGAAGAAUUGUCUUCAGUUC